rnacentral:rRNA from 1 species
CUACGGGAGGCAGCAGUAGGGAAUAUUGCACAAUGGGCGAAAGCCUGAUGCAGCAACACCGCGUGUGUGAUGAAGGCCUUCGGGUCGUAAAGCACUUUUAUGAGGGAAGAGGAAGGACGGUACCUCAUGAAUAAGGAUCGGCUAACUACGUGCCAGCAGCCGCGGUAAUACGUAGGACACGAGCGUUAUCCGGAUUUACUGGGCGUAAAGCGCGUGUAGGCGGCUUGGUUAGUUGGAUGUGAAAGCUCCUGGCCCAACCGGGAGACGUCGUUCAAUACUGCCAGGCUUGAGGACGGUAGAGGAAGGUGGAAUUCCGGGUGUAGUGGUGAAAUGCGUAGAUAUCCGGAGGAACACCAGUGGCGAAGGCGGCCUUCUGGGCCGUUCCUGACGCUCAGACGCGAAAGCUAGGGUAGCGAACGGGAUUAGAUACCCUUGUAGUCC